CCUACGGGUGGCUGCAGUGGGGAAUAUUGGACAAUGGGCGAAAGCCUGAUCCAGCCAUGCCGCGUGUGUGAAGAAGGCCUUCGGGUUGUAAAGCACUUUCAGUGGGGAAGAAAGCCUUGGGGCUAAUACCCUCGAGGAAGGACAUCACCCACAGAAGAAGCACCGGCUAACUCCGUGCCAGCAGCCGCGGUAAUACAGGAGGGUGCGAGCGUUAAUCGGAAUUACUGGGCGUAAAGCGCGCGUAGGCGGUCUGAUAAGCCGGUUGUGAAAGCCCCGGGCUCAACCUGGGAACGGCAUCCGGAACUGUCAGGCUAGAGUGCAGGAGAGGAAGGUAGAAUUCCCGGUGUAGCGGUGAAAUGCGUAGAGAUCGGGAGGAAUACCAGUGGCGAAGGCGGCCUUCUGGACUGACACUGACGCUGAGGUGCGAAAGCGUGGGUAGCAAACAGGAUUAGAUACCCUGGUAGUC
rnacentral:rRNA from 1 species